rnacentral:rRNA from 1 species
UAACUUAGUGGCGGACGGGUGAGUAACGCGUGGGUAACCUGCCUUACACAGGGGGAUAACACUUAGAAAUAGGUGCUAAUACCGCAUAAGCGCACAGUCCCGCAUGGGACAGAGUGAAAAACAUUAGUGGUGUAAGAUGGACCCGCGUCUGAUUAGCUUGUUGGCGGGGUAACGGCCCACCAAGGCGACGAUCAGUAGCCGGCCUGAGAGGGUGGACGGCCACAUUGGGACUGAGACACGGCCCAAACUCCUACGGGAGGCAGCAG